rnacentral:rRNA from 1 species
GACGAACCGAGCGAACGUUAUUCGGAAUCACUGGGCUUAAAGGGCGCGUAGGCGGACCGUCAAGUCAGGGGUGAAAGCCCGCGGCUCAACCGCGGAAGUGCCUUUGAUACUGGCGGUCUCGAGGGAGGUAGGGGCGUGCGGAACUUCCGGUGGAGCGGUGAAAUGCGUAGAUAUCGGAAGGAACACCGGUGGCGAAAGCGGCGCGCUGGACCUCUUCUGACGCUGAGGCGCGAAAGCGUGGGGAGCGAACGAGG